GCCUGGGUGGCUCAGUCAGUUGAGCGCCCGACUUCAGGUCAGGUCACUAUCUCACAGUUCGUGAGGUCACUAUCUCACAGUUCGUGGGUUCGAGCCCCACGUCGGGCU
rnacentral:tRNA from 1 species